rnacentral:rRNA from 1 species
CCUACGGGAGGCAGCAGUGAGGAAUAUUGGUCAAUGGACGAGAGUCUGAACCAGCCAAGUAGCGUGAAGGAUGACUGCCCUAUGGGUUGUAAACUUCUUUUAUAUGGGAAUAAAAUGUUCCACGUGUGGGAUUUUGUAUGUACCAUAUGAAUAAGGAUCGGCUAACUCCGUGCCAGCAGCCGCGGUAAUACGGAGGAUCCGAGCGUUAUCCGGAUUUAUUGGGUUUAAAGGGAGCGUAGGUGGAUUGUUAAGUCAGUUGUGAAAGUUUGCGGCUCAACCGUAAAAUUGCAGUUGAAACUGGCAGUCUUGAGUACAGUAGAGGUGGGCGGAAUUCGUGGUGUAGCGGUGAAAUGCUUAGAUAUCACGAAGAACUCCGAUUGCGAAGGCAGUUCACUGGACUGCAACUGACACUGAGGCUCGAAAGUGUGGGUAUCAAACAGCAUUAGAUACCCGAGUAGUC